UCCUUCUAAAUUUUGUAAGUCUCUACUCACUGGCAGCUGCCAGAGUUGAGGCAUUAACAAUAGCGAGAGAAUCUUUGCGGGCUCAUUUCGAACCUGAAGCAGCUGUUCUGCCUCCUGCUGCUGCUCCUGAUGAAUCUUUUUGGCUUCCCUUUACACCCCAAGGGACCAGUAAACCUCCUACUGCUGAAGCUUUUCAGCUUUGC